AUUGAACGCUGGCGGCAUGCCUUACACAUGCAAGUCGAACGGUAACGGGCCUUCGGGUGCCGACGAGUGGCGAACGGGUGAGUAAUACAUCGGAACGUGCCCGAUCGUGGGGGAUAACGAGGCGAAAGCUUUGCUAAUACCGCAUACGAUCUACGGAUGAAAGCAGGGGACCGCAAGGCCUUGCGCGGACGGAGCGGCCGAUGACAGAUUAGGUAGUUGGUGGGAUAAAAGCUUACCAAGCCGACGAUCUGUAGCUGGUCUGAGAGGAUGAUCAGCCACACUGGGACUGAGAAACGGCCCAGACUCCUACGGGAGGCAGCAGUGGGGAAUUUUGGACAAUGGGCGCAAGCCUGAUCCAGCCAUGCCGCGUGCAGGGUGAAGGCCUUCGGGUUGUAAACUGCUUUUGUACGGAACGAAAAGCCUUCUUUUAAUACAGGAGGGUCAUGACGGUACCGUAAGAAUAAGCACCGGCUAACUACGUG
rnacentral:rRNA from 1 species